rnacentral:lncRNA from 1 species
AUAUUUUUAAACUGAAGUACAGUUGAUUUAUAUUCCUAUAUUUGUUUUGGGUGUACAACAUAGUGAUUCGAUACUUUUAUGGAAUGUACUCUAGGUGAGGUUACUGCUGUGCUCUCCUUCCCGUCGACUCUCUCCUCCGAAGAGAGCAGAGAUGCCCCUCGUCUUCCAGCCCAGCUCUCCGUUGUUUCUCAACACCUCAGCGGGACAGAGCCUGCCAGAACCGAGAGCCUGCCUGGUCUGUGAAUUGGAGUGGAAUGUGAAUGA